rnacentral:rRNA from 1 species
CCGAUUUAUCGGCGUGGUCGCGGCCCCCGGGGGAUAACCUGGGUGGUAGAGGUAACACUCUCACGCGCCACAUGCCCGAAUCCUUUUUUUACGAGCACCUUUUGUUCUCCUUCGGCGGGGCAACCUGCCGCUGGAAUCCAUCAAAACCUUUUUUGCAUUUAGCAUUACCUGUUCUGAUACAAACAAUCGUUACAACUUUCAACAAUGGAUCUCUUGGCUCUGGCAUCGAUGAAGAACGCAGCGAAAUGCGAUAAGUAGUGUGAAUUGCAGAAUUCAGUGAAUCAUCGAAUCUUUGAACGCACAUUGCGCCCCUUGGUAUUCCAUGGGGCAUGCCUGUUCGAGCGUCAUCUACACCCUCAAGCUCUGCUUGGUGUUGGGCGUCUGUCCCGCCUCUGCGCGCGGACUCGCCCCAAAUGCAUUGGCAGCGGUCCUUGCCUCCUCUCGCGCAGCACAUUGCGCUUCUCGAGGUGUGCGGGCCGCGUCCACGAAGCAACAUUACCGUCUUUGACCUCGGAUCAGGUAGGGAUACCCGCUGAACUUAAGCAUAUCAAUAAGCGGAGGAAAAGAAACCAACAGGGAUUGCCCUAGUAACGGCGAGUGAAGCGGCAACAGCUCAAAUUUGAAAUCUGGCUCUCUUUGGGGGUCCGAGUUGUAAUUUGCAGAGGAUGCUUUGGCAUUGGCGGCGGUCUAAGUUCCUUGGAACAGGACAUCGCAGAGGGUGAGAAUCCCGUACGUGGGCGCCUGCCUUUGCCGUGUAAAGCUCCUUCGACGAGUCGAGUUGUUUGGGAAUGCAGCUCUAAAUGGGAGGUAAAUUUCUUCUAAAGCUAAAUACCGGCCAGAGACCGAUAGCGCACAAGUAGAGUGAUCGAAAGAUGAAAAGUACUUUGGAAAGAGAGUCAAAAAGCACGUGAAAUUGUUGAAAGGGAAGCGCUUGCAGCCAGACUUGCCCGCAGUUGCUCACCUAGGCUUUGGCCUGGGGCACUCUUCUGCGGGCAGGCCAGCAUCAGUUUGGGCGGUUGGAUAAAGGCCUCUUUCACGUAUCUCCCUUCGGGGUGACCUUAUAGAGGAGGCGUAAUGCGACCAGCCCGGA